UAUCUGGACACUGAUGACCCUUUAAGUCUUCAAAUUCAAUGCUUCCUAUUACUGAUUAAAAGACUUACCAAAGCGACUGCCACUUCGGCGGCUUGCUGCCAUUUCCUCUGACACAGGAACUGAUUCAGCGGAAUUACAAUACACACCCAAUAGUUUGGAGUCUGAAUCAGGAUUGAUGUUAGCCUGAAUCCUGAAAUCAGUACUGGAUCAUGCAUUUUUAGCAAUCAGUCACAAAACCCAUGCCACAGUUAUCAGGCAUGAUCAGCAAUGAUACUUGUCAGGACUGCAGCAGUAUAGAUAUCAGACUUGACUCGUUCAUUUUGGGCAAUAUCAUCACUGAUUCAGGCAUGAUUACUGUUGACUCUGUAGUUAUGUGCCAAUAUAUGGGUGGUUUAUUUGUAUUAUCAUGAUAUUAUUAUUAUUAGUAAUAAAACUGAUGGGAAAAGAGAGAGAGAGAGAGUGACAUGACAAAAAACAAAAAUGUGAAGUAAAUAUAACAAAACAA